rnacentral:rRNA from 1 species
UUGACUCACGCAGGAAUCUUACCGGGUCCGGACACACUGAGGAUUGACAGAUAACGUGCUGUUAUACGGUGCAAAAUAUGAUAGCUCUUUCAUAAUUAUGUGAUAGGUGGUGCAUGGCCGUUCUUAGUUCGUGGAGUGAUCUGUCUGCUUAAUUGCGUUGGUAUAUAUAAUGCAUGUUAAUUGCAUUUUUACCAUGCAACGAACGUGACCGCAACCUCUUGUUGCACUAUAGCUUCUCAUGGUGCAAAACUAGAGGGACCGCUGUAUUUAUUUCUUUUAGCCAGAGGAAGGAUGCGGCAAUAACAGGUCUGUGAUGC